rnacentral:rRNA from 1 species
UAGGGAAUCUUCCACAAUGGACGCAGGUCUGAUGGAGCAACGCCGCGUGAGUGAAGAAGGGUUUCGGCUCGUAAAGCUCUGUUGUUAAAGAAGAACGUGGGUAAGAGUAACUGUUUACCCAGUGACGGUAUUUAACCAGAAAGCCACGGCUAACUACGUGCCAG